rnacentral:rRNA from 1 species
AACCUGGUUGAUCCUGCCAGUAGUCAUAUGCUUGUCUCAAAGAUUAAGCCAUGCAUGUCUAAGUAUAAGCGACUUGUACUGUGAAACUGCGAAUGGCUCAUUAAAUCAGUUAUGGUUUCUUUGAUGGUACCUUGCUACUUGGAUACCCGUAGUAAUUCUAGAGCUAAUACAUGCAGGAAUUCCCGACUUUCGAAGGGAUGUAUUUAUUAGAUAAGAAACCAUCUCGGGUUCGCCCGGUUGUGUGCUGAGUCAUAAUAACUGCUCGAAUCGUAUGGCUCUACGCCGUCGAUGGUUCAUUCAAAUUUCUGCCCUAUCAGCUUUCGAUGGUAGGAUAGAGGCCUACCAUGGCAUUAACGGGUAACGGAGAAUUAGGGUUCGAUUCCGGAGAGGGAGCCUGAGAAAUGGCUACCACAUCCAAGGAAGGCAGCAGGCGCGUAAAUUGCCCGAAUCCUGACACAGGGAGGUAGUGACAAGAAAUAACAAUACAGGGCUACUUCUAGUCUUGUAAUUGGAAUGAGUACAACUUACAUCUCUUCACGAGGAUCAAUUGGAGGGCAAGUCUGGUGCCAGCAGCCGCGGUAAUUCCAGCUCCAAUAGC